rnacentral:rRNA from 1 species
GACGAACGCUGGCGGCGUGCUUAAUGCAUGCAAGUCGAGGGAGAACCAGUCGUUCCGUAAGGAUCGGCUGGGGAAACCGGCGAACGGGUGCGUAACACGUGAGGAACCUGCCCUGGAGACCGGGAUAGCCCGAGGAAACUCGGAUUAAUACCGGAUAUUCUCGUCGAACCGCAUGAUUCGAUGAGGAAACAGUCCGCCGCUCCAGGAUGGCCUCGCGGCCUAUCAGCUUGUUGGUGAGGUAACGGCUCACCAAGGCCACGACGGGUAGCUGGUCUGAGAGGACGAUCAGCCACACUGGGACUGAGACACGGCCCAGACUCCUACGGGAGGCAGCAGCAGGGAAUAUUGCACAAUGGGCGAAAGCCUGAUGCAGCGACGCCGCGUGCGGGAUGAAGGCCUUCGGGUUGUAAACCGCUUUCAGGAGGGACGAAAAUGACGGUACCUCCAGAAGAAGGCCCGGCCAACUACGUG